CCGAAUCUCAUCAGGCAAAAGAAUGAAGUUCCUAUAUACAAAAAUUAGCUCAAAAUGGAUCAAAGACCUAAAUACAGACUUGCUGAAUGCUAUCCUUGGCCUCCUGGGAGGUCAACAGACUCCAGGUGAAGAAGCCCUGACUCCAGUGGAUACAGAGAGUAUAUUCCUGAUUAGGGAGCUUCCAACGGAACAUCGUGACCUGACCUAUGUGGACAGCUGCAAGAAGGAAGGAGUCUGAUGCCAAGAAGUUUGCAAUAACCAACCACACCUUCUCCCCUUUUAGUAUAAAAGAAGCCUGAAUUCUAACUCAGGUAAGAUGGUUCUUUGGGACACGAGUGCACCAUCUUCUUUGUCUGUUGGCUUUCCAAAUAAAGUCACUAUUCCUUGCCCCAACAACUCAUUUCUCAAUUUAUUGGCCUGUGGUGAGGUGAG